rnacentral:rRNA from 1 species
CGGAGGAUCCAAGCGUUAUCCGGAAUCAUUGGGUUUAAAGGGUCCGUAGGCGGUUUAGUAAGUCAGUGGUGAAAGCCCAUCGCUCAACGGUGGAACGGCCAUUGAUACUGCUAGACUUGAAUAAUUAGGAAGUAACUAGAAUAUGUAGUGUAGCGGUGAAAUGCUUAGAGAUUACAUGGAAUACCAAUUGCGAAGGCAGGUUACUACUAGUUCAUUGACGCUGAUGGACGAAAGCGUGGGUAGCGAACAGGAUUAGAUACCCUGGUAGUCCACGCCGUAAACGAUGGAUACUAGCUGUUGGGGGCAACUUCAGUGGCUAAGCGAAAGUGAUAAGUAUCCCACCCGGGGAGUACGUUCGCAAGAAUG